AGGGGUGUGCAUGGUCGGAUAUUUUUACAAACCAAACCGUAUCUAAACCAAAACCACUUAAAUGGAUUCGGAUUGAUAACCAUAACCACAUUUUUCUACAAACUGGUUACAUAACUGAUUAUAAAUUUGGUUAUGGUUACCAAACCGGUUAUUUUUAUAAAACUGGUUUAAAUUUGGUUAUUUUCUUAAAUUUGGUUUAAAACCAGUUUUU
rnacentral:lncRNA from 1 species